GAGGGUAUAGCACAAGUGGUAGAGCACAUGCUUAGCAAGCACAAAGUUCUGGGUUCAAUCCCUAGUACCUCCU
rnacentral:tRNA from 1 species